CCAGAUUGUGAAGAACUCUCGCCGAUCUCCAUCCUUCCAACUCUGGUGAUCUCCAUACCCACCUGCGCAAUGGCUUCCACCACUAUUGCAGGAGUAGCGGCCUUCCCAAGCGGCUCCACCACUCUUGCGUUGGGCUUUCUCAGCGCUUCUUCGGCAAGGGUGCUCGCACUGGAGAAUUAAUUAUUGGAAGAGAAGUUCCACAUGGUUCAUCAUUCGUUACUGCUGAAGAAUUGGCUAGAAUGAAUAAAAAACUUGUUGCAACCAACAACCAAAAUGGAGAAAGUUGCCAAGGCUCCACAAUAGAAGAAGUUGUGGAUUUACCAACACAACAAAGUAGGAUAAAUUAUGUUUUUACUGAAACCCCUCAACCUUGAAGGAAGGAAGCAUUCUGUCUGUAGAGAUUUUUUUUUGUUUUUUGAGAAUGGUUUAUAUUUAUCUCAAACUUGAUAAAUGCUAUGCGAACCUUGAUGAUUGUCCAAGGUUGUAAUGUUUUGUUGAUUAAAUAUCAAAUUGGAUCAUAGGA